rnacentral:rRNA from 1 species
CCUACGGGAGGCUGCAGUGGGGAAUAUUGCACAAUGGUCGCAAGCCUGAUGCAGCUAUGCCGCGUGUAUGAAGAAGGCCUUAGGGUUGUAAAGUACUUUCAGCGGGGAGGAAAAAAAUAAAACUAAUAAUUUUAUUUCGUGACGUUACCCGCAGAAGAAGCACCGGCUAACUCCGUGCCAGCAGCCGCGGUAAUACGGAGGGUGCAAGCGUUAAUCAGAAUUACUGGGCGUAAAGAGCGCGUAGGUGGUUUUUUAAGUCAGGUGUGAAAUCCCUAGGCUCAACCUAGGAACUGCAUUUGAAACUGAAAAACUAGAGUCUCGUAGAGGGAGGUAGAAUUCUAGGUGUAGCGGCGAAAUGCGUAGAUAUCUGGAGGAAUACCCGUGGCGAAAGCGGCCUCCUAAACGAAUACUGACACUGAGGCGCGAAAGCGUGGGGAGCAAACAGGAUUAGAUACCCGAGUAGUC